rnacentral:tRNA from 1 species
AAGGAUUUAAGUUAAUUAAACUUUUAACCUUCAAAGUUAAUAAUAGAUUUUAUCUAAGCCUUA